rnacentral:rRNA from 1 species
AACGAACGCUGGCGGCAGGCUUAACACAUGCAAGUCGAACGCUCCGCAAGGAGAGUGGCAGACGGGUGAGUAACGCGUGGGAACGUGCCUUUUGGUUCGGAACAACUUCGGGAAACUGGAGCUAAUACCGAAUGUGCCCGUUCGGGGGAAAGAUUUAUCGCCAAAGAUCGGCCCGCGUCAGAUUAGCUAGUUGGUGGGGUAAUGGCCUACCAAGGCGACGAUCUGUAGCUGGUCUGAGAGGAUGAUCAGCCACACUGGGACUGAGACACGGCCCAGACUCCUACGGGAGGCAGCAGUGGGGAAUCUUGGACAA